CCCCCCCCCCGAGCACGAUGCCGCGCAGGAAUGUGAAAGGCUCCCGCCCGCCGCCAUUUUCUUUCUUUCUUGGCAGGCAGCGAGCGGGGCAGGAGGCGGCGGCCGAGCGAGCAUGGCGGACUACUCCACCGUGCCCCCUCCUGCUGCGGGCGCGCCCGGGGGAGGCGGCGGCGGAGGUGGAGGAGUGAACGAUGCCUUUAAAGACGCGUUGCAGAGGGCUAGGCAGAUUGCAGCAAAAAUUGGAGGAGAUGCUGGUACAUCAAUGAAUUCAAAUGACUACGGUUAUGGAGGACAAAAAAGACCUCUUGAGGAUGGAGAUGGCUCUUGGACAAGUCCGAGCAGUACAACACACUGGGAGGGAAUGCCCUCUCCUUUUAAAGAUCAACCAGAUGCUAAGAAAGUUGCUCCUCAGAAUGACUCUUUUGGAAAUCAACUACCACCAAUGCAUCAACAACAACGGUCUGUGAUGACAGAGGAAUACAAAGUUCCAGAUGGGAUGGUUGGAUUCAUAAUUGGCAGAGGUGGAGAGCAGAUCUCACGCAUACAGCAAGAAUCUGGAUGUAAAAUACAGAUUGCACCUGAUAGUGGGGGCCUGCCUGAAAGAUCCUGUAUGCUAACUGGAACACCAGAAUCUGUUCAAUCAGCAAAAAGAUUACUUGAUCAGAUAGUUGAAAAGGGAAGACCUGCACCUGGCUUUCAUCAUGGUGAUGGACCUGGAAAUGCAGUCCAAGAAAUUAUGAUUCCAGCAAGUAAAGCAGGAUUAGUUAUUGGUAAAGGUGGAGAGACGAUUAAACAAUUACAGGAGCGAGCAGGUGUCAAAAUGGUCAUGAUUCAAGAUGGUCCACAGAACACUGGUGCAGACAAGCCCCUUAGGAUAACUGGAGAUCCUUAUAAAGUUCAACAAGCCAAGGAAAUGGUGCUGGAGUUAAUUCGUGAUCAAGGUGGCUUUAGAGAGGUGCGCAACGAAUAUGGGUCAAGAAUAGGAGGAAAUGAAGGGAUAGACGUACCAAUACCACGAUUUGCUGUAGGUAUUGUGAUUGGAAGAAAUGGGGAGAUGAUAAAAAAGAUACAGAAUGAUGCUGGUGUUAGGAUCCAAUUUAAGCCAGAUGAUGGAACAACUCCAGAUAGAAUAGCCCAAAUCACAGGGCCUCCUGACAGAUGUCAACAUGCUGCAGAAAUUAUUACAGAUCUCCUUCGAAGUGUUCAGGCUGGCAACCCUGGUGGACCAGGACCUGGUGGUCGAGGAAGGGGUAGAGGUCAAGGCAACUGGAACAUGGGGCCUCCUGGUGGAUUACAGGAAUUCAAUUUUAUUGUUCCCACUGGCAAAACUGGAUUAAUCAUUGGCAAAGGGGGUGAAACUAUCAAAAGCAUAAGCCAGCAGUCUGGUGCUAGAAUAGAACUUCAGAGAAAUCCUCCACCUAAUGCAGAUCCAAACAUGAAGAUGUUUACUAUCCGUGGAACACCCCAGCAAAUAGAUUAUGCACGGCAACUUAUAGAAGAAAAGAUUGGAGGUCCAGUAAAUCCAUUGGGUCCACCUGUUCCUCAUGGACCCCAUGGUGUUGUUCCUGGCCCACAUGGACCUCCUGGGCCACCAGGUCCUGGUGCUCCCAUGGGACCAUAUAACCCAGCUCCUUAUAAUCCAGGGCCUCCUGGCCCUGCACCUCAUGGUCCUCCAGCCCCAUAUGCUCCACAAGGAUGGGGAAAUGCUUAUCCACAUUGGCAGCCACCAAAUCCGCCAGAUCCAGGCAAGCCAGGAACAGAUCCCAAUUCAGCAGCAUGGGCAGCUUAUUAUGCUCACUACUAUCAGCAGCAAGCACAGCCACCACCUGCAGCCCCUCCUGGUGGACCAGCUACAACCCAAACUAACGGACAAGGAGAUCAGCCAAAUCCAGCACCAGCAGGACAGGUUGACUAUACAAAGGCAUGGGAGGAGUACUACAAAAAAAUGGGUCAAGCAGUUCCCGCGCCUGCUGGAGCUCCGCCAGGUGGUCAGCCAGAUUACAGUGCAGCAUGGGCUGAGUACUACAGACAACAAGCAGCGUAUUACGCCCAGACAAGUCCACAGGGAAUGCCACAACAUCCUCCAGCACCACAGUGCCUUCCCAGACCUUCCACCUUAGGUUCUGCUGCAAAAAAGCAACAGGUAAGCACAACCUAAGGAAGUAUAUAAAUUUAAAUAUUUCAGUACAUUAAUGUUGUCCCUGUGAGAUCUUUGUGGUUGUGUAUUGAAAAGCAAUCUGCUGCUUUCCCAAAUGCAUUGUUACUCAUGGUACCAUUUCAGUGGAAAGUCUUUUAAGUUUUUAAACAACUGUUUCUAUUUCUAGGUAAAUAUGUAUCCUUUUUUUUUUUUUUUUAAGAAAAGAUGAGUAGAUUGCAUUAAUUGAAGUUAAGCAAAAUAAGUAUUUUUUGUUACUUUUCCUCAAAUAGUUACUUGUUGCAAUUAAAGAAUCAAAACCUUUAAAAUAUGCAGGAAUUACUGUGGUUAGAAACUUCAACAGCCUUCACAAAUGUUUUUAUAGUAGGGCACUGUUCUCGCUCAAACACGUAAGACUUAAAUAUAAAGAAUAUAACUUCUUGUUGUUAUCACUGAACUUGAUAACUUGUCUUACAGUUACAGUGUGUUAGUGGAAUUUUUAGAUAAAUUAGUUUGCUUAUUCAUACUUGACGUGGUAGGAAAAUAGAUUCUGGAGUUUCACAGAUUAGUAUGUUUUAUUUGGAAAAGCAUGUGCACCAGUUAAAUGUUAACAGUACAGCAAAUAAUAUUUUUAUCUACAUAGCAGUCAGUGUAUCCUGUUUCUUGAUACUUUAACUGAAUUGCUGUAUAUUUUGAUAGUUUAAAAUGUUUGUAUGUCUUAUAGAUGGUCUGGUACAGGUUUUUGUUUCUUUUUUUUUUUUUAGCUUAAAGUAAAGCAGCAUCUAUUUGUUUGUUGAUUAUUCUGUUUCUAAAAUGUGCUGCUCCUCUUUCAAAAGUCCUGCUUAUCUGUACAUUAAAGAAAAAUAUUCAAAAAUACUGCCUUCAUUUUCACACACAGUGCUGAAGAUGCUGCAAGCACCAAAUCAUAGCUCAUAGAAUCAGGUCCUGAGAUAGUUACUACCAGUAAAGAGGAAUCCUUUGAGUGUAUGCCAUUGGUGAGCCGAUGAGCAUGGACCAUAGAAGGGCUCCAUGUAGAAGGCAUUUAAUCAUCACUGAAGAAAGGGAAGUGAGAUUCUUCACUAUUGCUUGUCUCCAGUAAAUACUAUCCACAAAGAGAAGCCUAUGGUUUGCAAACUGCAAUCAAGAACAAAAGAAUGAACUAUCUUCAGAAUAUGUCGUGGAGUACUUAAUUUGUUAAUGGUGGAAGUUGACUGGGAACUCUCAGAGUAUCCAGCUAUCUGCUUACUAAAAGCAGGCCAGGGACUGGUAUGUUGGGGGAAUUACAGGAAUCUUUUAUUUGGAAUUCGUAGGGUAAAAGAAAGAAUUGAAGGAACUCAACUUCUGAACUGUUCCUUUAAGAAAACUUUUGACUUCAAAUUUGGACAACCACUGAUAAAACUGCAUGGUAGAAAAAGACCAUGGGGGUGUCUUGUUUUUUGUAUUGAAUUUGUAAAUUCAAUUGUCACAGUUAUAUUACUUGGUUAAUAAAUGCAGAUAUUGAGGGGUGGGAAAUGUGAACAAAACUUCAAUUAGAAAUGCUACAGUAACUUCACAAAGUUAUCUCUCCUUCAUUUUCUUUCUUCUUCAUCUUCACUAGUAUCCACUAGGAACUAGUGGAAAGUUAGGUGAUUUUUCGGGGUGGAUGGGAGGAAGGGGUGUAAACUAUGAUUUUGGGAUCUGCCGAAACCUAGAGCCCUCUGUUUGGACCAGUUGGGAAUUUCAGUGUUUCAGCUUUCUGGAUGUUCUGUGGGGCCGGUUUGUUUUCCCUUGCAUAUUAAUUUCUGGAAUGUUCCUGAAAUAUAGUCAAUAUAGUGAUUUUGUUUGUCCAAGAAUGGUCAUUUACAUUUACACUUCCUUCUUAUCUAUCAUAUUUCUCAAACAAGUACGGGAACAAGAAAUAGUAGUCUGUUACUACUGAACAUUUUCAUAAAAAUUGGUUACUGAGAUGUAUGAAGUAAUAUUAAAGAUGAAAACAGACAACUAAUUUUCUUGAGGAUUUACAGCUUAAGGUACUAAAGCUGAUAUAAAAACUGGUAAGAUUGCUGACAAAUUCAAAACACAGAAAUUUCCUGUUUUUACUAAAAGAAUGUCUAGAGAAUUACGCCAGGAUGGUUACUGAAUUAGAACUAGGAUCAGAAACAUAUAUUUCAAAAAUUUGCAGUGAUACAAUUUUCAGCUUGAAAUAGAGUUAAGCAGUAAGGAAAAUAAGAAUCGGACGCAGGAGAGAAUGUAAAGACAUAUCAUCUGUGAAAAUUCUGUAACGAUAUAUAUGA